UACGUAGGGUGCAAGCGUUAAUCGGAAUUACUGGGCGUAAAGCGUGCGCAGGCGGUUUUGUAAGUCUGUCGUGAAAUCCCCGGGCUCAACCUGGGAAUUGCGAUGGAGACUGCAAGGCUAGAAUCUGGCAGAGGGGGGGGUAGAAUUCCACGUGUAGCAGUGAAAUGCGUAGAGAUGUGGAGGAACACCGAUGGCGAAGGCAGCCCCCUGGGUCAAGAUUGACGCUCAUGCACGAAAGCGUGGGGAGCAACAGG
rnacentral:rRNA from 1 species